AAAUAAAAAUGACCAAUCGUACCAAAAAAUGACCAAAAUAAAUAAGUCUAGAAUCGUUUUUUUUUUUUUAACAGAACAAUUAAUUCAUCACAUUUAUUUUUUCAUAUUGUGUGUACAUAAAUACAUAUUACACAAUACAUAUAUCACAUAUUAUUUUUAGUUAUUAGUAGGAAUUAAAAAACAAAAACAAAAAAAAACUAAACAAUAAAAAACAGGUAGGUACAAAAAUAAUUCACGAGUAUGUACCUCACAAACUUAACUUAAUUAGAUUAACUAAAAUAAAUAAAUAAUACAAAAUAAAUAGUUACUUCUAACAUAAUUUAAAAUUAAAAUCACAAUAUGUUCACAUUAUGAUAAGAGAUUGCAUAUUUUCGCUAUAUAAAACUUGUAUGUAAUUAAUUAAAAACAUGUUUUUGCAGACCAAACGCUGUGGUUAUUUUUAACAUCUUGAAGCUCUUUUGCCAGCAUUAUAUUAUUGAUGGCAUCAAAAUUAAGCCUGUUUCUUAAUUUGGUUUUUAUCAAACUUAAUUCAAAAAAUUUUCUCUCAGCAGCAGCCGAGCUAUGAGGAAGUGACAUCAAGUUAUAAACGAAAUUACUUAAAUUUUUAAAACAAUAUUCAUUUAAACCAUUUUUAAGAUAACUGACCUUUUGCCAAAAUUCUGAUAUGUCCAUUAUUUCCCUAAGAUUAUGAUCAUUAGAAAAUCUUAGCAUUUUCCACUCCAUGACCAAAUCUUCUGGAUCACCCUGAACCAAGUAAGAAAAACUGUUCAUUAAAGGUAAUAGUGGCACAUCAGAAUCCGACAAAACACUUCUCGGAGUUAUUAUAGACAAGUUUUUUAAAUCAUUAUUACUCAGAUCAAAUCUUAGUAGCAAUUGUUUUAAAAGUUCUAAAUAAAAAUUCAAAGCGUUUGUUUUUAUCUCAUUCCUAUCAAAAUUUGAGAGGUUUGAUUUUUUGAUAUAAUCCUCGGCUUUGCUUCCCAGAAAAACAUUUGUAAUAGAUUUUCCCAUUGAAUUUGCUAAAUCGUAUGAUUUUAUUCCGCUAAUUUCCAAAUAGCACGAAAGAAAAUAUAAUUGAAGUGCGUCCCACUGUUCCACCACUCGAUUUAUAACGUUUUCUAAGGAGAGCCAUCUUGUCAACGAAAUACCUAAUAUUUUGUGCGGUGGUACUGCACAAUAGUCUUGAAAUUCUUUAAAGUUAUUGAUACGAUUAGCACUGCAUAGGCAGAGCAUAGAUGCAACGAAUGACAAGUGCAUUUAAGAAAAAACAUAUUGGAGUUGCUCUUAAGCUUGGCUUGCAGACCAUUCACCUCACCAGCCAUAACACUUGCACCGUCAGUUGACAGUCCAAUUAAAUUUUCAAAUGGAAUAUCAUUUUCAGAAAAAAAUGUCUUAAUGCUGUUGUAAAUGGUUUCAGCGUCACAUUUUAUAAGUUCAAUCAAACCCAAAAAUCUAUCUUUAAUAAUUUUGGAAUUCUUAUCGACAUACCUUACAACUAAAACUAAAGACUUUCUGGUUGAAAUAUCAGUCGUCUCGUCUGUUAUUAAGGAAAAUUUAGUAGUUUGCAGCUCUGAAACUAUUUUCUGCUUCGCUUUUGUUCCUAGCGUCUCUGCAAGUUGAGUUGCUUUCGUUCGUCCGCACUUGAUUGAUUUUGCAAUUUCCGAAUCGGGACAGCAUUCUUUUAGCAGAUUUGGUAAAAAAUCCAUUAAUAAAAAUGGGAGAUUGUGAGUUAUUAAAAAUUGGACGAGCGUGAGCUCAGCCCAAUAAACUUUUUUUUCAAAACUCGAUUUGUCCCGCUGCAAGCACGAAUCAAUUUGUAUUUGAUUUCUUUUUUUUUCCAUGUUUUUGAUAUGGCUUUCUUUUUUUUCAUGUUGUUUUAAGUGACCUAAAUGGUUGGUUAAAAUUUUGUCACAAGCAGCACAAAAGCUUUUGUCAGCUUUAUGGUUAAGCCAAUUGAAUUUUUGUAGCCAUUCCUGUCUAAAUUUUCUCUCCGCUUCGUGUUUUUUUUGGUCCACAUUUUGAUCACUUAGAAAUUAUACAUAGGUAAUUGUAAUUUCAUGAAACCUUA